AGUUUAAAGCCUUUCUUUUAAAAAAUAAGUUUUUAGAAAAUAAAAUAACAUUUUAGAAAAUGAAUCGCUUGCAAACAAAAUGAGGCAUAUCUUUUAGUACUUCAUAACAUAAUCUUUCACAUUUUGCACGCUUGUAAACAUGGCUCUUAAAUCUGGAACUGACCAAUCGGUCGAAUUGAUUUAAUUGGAAAUUAAAGUUUGAACAAGUUCCAUUGAACCAAAUCUUGCUUUUAGAAAAUUGAUGUCAAAUAGGUGUGAGUGGACCAGUUAAACAGCGAACUGGAUUAUCUGCUGAAUUUGAACCGAGUAGUCUGGUUCGGUCACUCAAGUUAAAAAAUUUGCCAGGGCCACCGCAUUUGGGGCCACG
rnacentral:misc_RNA from 1 species